GAUGAACGCUGGCGGCGUGCCUAAUACAUGCAAGUCGAGCGAACGGACGAGAAGCUUGCUUCUCUGAUGUUAGCGGCGGACGGGCGAGUAACACGUGGAUAACCUACCUAUAAGACUGGGAUAACUUCGGGAAGCCGGAUCUAAUACCGGAGAAUAUUUUGAACCGCAUGGUUCAAAAGUGCAACACGGUCUUGCUGUCACUUAUAGAUGGUUCCGCGCUGCAUUAGCUAGUUGGUAAGGUAACGGCCUACCAAGGCAACGAUGCAUAGCCGACCUGAGAGGAUGAUCAGCCACACUGGAACUGAGACACGGUCCAGACUCCUACGGGAGGCAGCAGUAGGGAAUAUUCCGCAAUGGGCGAAAGCCUGACGGAGCAACGCCGCGUGAGUGAUGAAGGUCUUCGGAUCGUAAAACUCUGUUAUUAGGGAAGAACAUAUGUGUAAGUAACUGUGCACAUCUUGACGGUACCUAAUCAGAAAGCAACGGCUAACUACGUG
rnacentral:rRNA from 1 species